UGUGGUGGGUUGGGCCGUGAUUGGUGGGACACUGGUUCCUAACGAUCCUGGACUAAGAGUAGAGCUCUCGUAAGAACUGGUUGGUACUUCGCCAGUAGAUUCCGUCGUUUGUUUAGUCAUAUGACCUGGUGUUGUGUCAGGAGAGAAAGUAGUGGGUGUUUCUGGACUUUCGGAAGGAAAACUUCUAUCGGUCGCCCCUUCAGUAAGAGUAGUUUCUCCAAUGACCCUUGCGGUAGUCACUUCGCUGGGAUAUUGGGUCGUCUGUUCUGUUACUUGCCCGUGCGUUGUACCAAUAGGGAUAUUUGUGGUGGGUUGGGCCGUGAUAGGUGGGACACUGGUUCCUAACGAUCCUGGACUAAGAGUAGAGCUCUCGUAAGAACUGG